rnacentral:lncRNA from 1 species
CCCUCCAGGUCAGGGUCUGAUGAAGCCUCAGGCAGUUAGAGGGGAUGUCCCUCAGCCCUCACUUUGGGCGGUUCUCAGUUCUGAGCCACAGGACCUAGAGAAGCCACUUGGCAUGCCUAAGCCUCUGUUCUCCUCUCUAGAGAGGGGUGUCUGUUGAGGAUUCACUGGGCUGGUGCUCUGCACAGAGGGAGCUCUGUUGUCCCUCAGCGAGCAAAUGGCCUCGAGGGAGAUCAAUGUGGAAUCCUUUGCAGGACCAAAGUCAGAUUGUACUUUGAGAGCCCAGAACCUUGCUGAGUGUGGGAGCUCAUGUGUCUCCUGUUGCACACGUCUGGGAGGGGCUAGGAGUUCCUGGGUCAGCUGCAGACCUCGAUAACGCUGGUGGUUUGCAGUGGUGGCCCUGACCCUGUGUCCUCCUCAUCCCACCCAGAGUGAAGAUGAGUCCACUGUGUCUAUAACUGAGGCCUGCAGGAUGCGUGCCCUCCAGGCAGGCACGAUGCAGAGGCUCUCAGAGUCUGUGCUGCCAGAUUUCCCCAGCAGAGUGCUCUGCAGUGUCAUCACCUCCCUCUGCAGCUACUCAGGCUCCAGCACAGCCCACCAGGUCCUGGAGCAGCUGUUUCCCAGGUGACUGCCUGCCUCCUCCUCAGCACAGUGGUGACUCUGCCCACUGCCAGCUGUGUGUCUUGCCUUGGGAAUGUCACCAUAUCUCUCUGAGCCUGAGUUGGCUCCUCUGAAACGUGGGGUGGGAGAGGAUGAACUUGCUAGGCUUCUCCCAGGGAUGAAUGGGAUCAGCCCUCUAGGUGCUGCCCUGGUGCCUGGCUCUGCAGAGAGGGUGGUGGGCCGUGCUGUGGUUGCUGGUGGUGAUUAUUUCUCUGUCCCCCACGGAAAGUAGUCUUCCUCUCCCUUCACUGGCUUGUGGCUUUUUGAGUUUGGAAAAGCACCUGGAGAGCACCCUGUCAAGGAGUUUGAGAUGCCAUCCAGCUGGUCCUGGUGCUCGUCCUUGGUGUAGCCACUUAGGGAUCUCUAGGGCCACAGAGGGGCCACAGGCCCACUCAGACACCUGGGGUGGUUCUGGUUGGAGGUCAUUCAACAAUGUCUAUGAAGGACCUACUCUGAGCAGGACUUCUGGACACACUAAGUGUCACUCAGUGACUGAAGCAGACAGCCUCCCUGGGCGUCCCCUCUAUUCUGAGAGUCAGACAGUCACACUUGACGUCAUUCACAGGUCCCAUCUACCCUCCAUCCCGGGCGAUGCCCUCAUCCCCUUUGGGACACAUGGAGGCAGCUUGGCCCAUUGCGUGCGGGAUGCUGGAGAACAGGACCACCUCCCAAAUGCUAUCUAUUUCCUGCUGGGAACCUGGCUGGGCCAAGGGCAGGAUUGCAGAGAGCCCCUGUGGUUUCCCUGUUGGGCCCUGCAGCUGGCCACUCUGCACGUCAGCUUUGGUGGCUCCCACGUGGAGGGCCAUGCCUACAUUCUGCCAGGCCACCUGGAGCAUCUCAAGGCCAUUGAGGCCGAACGGAAAGGUGAGGGGACUGCAGUCUAGGAAGACUGUCUGUGUUGAGGUUCACGGGCUA